GCCAUUGUAGCUCAGGGGUUAGAGCAUGAGCCCUCGCACCAAAGGGUCCAGGGUUCGAUUCCUGGUCAAGGGCA
rnacentral:tRNA from 1 species